AAAAAAAUCAAUAACACACUUAAAAUUUUGCUGUGAAUCAAGCUUCUAGAUUUAAAACCCUAAACACUAACAAUUGAAUUUUAAAUCAUCCACCACAAUUCCCAAAUCAAAAUGCCUUAAAAAUUCACUGAACAAAUAGCGUUCAAUUAUAAUCACUUGUUCUAAUUACAACACCAAAAAGAAUCCCCACGAAGUGGAAACAACAAAUUGAACUUAAAUUGAAUAAAUAAAAAAUAAAAUUAACCCAAAUCCAACUUAAACUCAGCC
rnacentral:misc_RNA from 1 species